rnacentral:rRNA from 1 species
UACAGGGGGGUGCAAGCGUUAUUCGGAUUUAUUGGGCGUAAAGAGCGCGUAGGCGGUUUGGUAAGUUUGGUGUGAAAUCCCUGGACUCAAUUCAGGAAGUGCAUUGAAUACUGCUAGACUGGAGUGCUGGAGAGGAGAACGGAAUUCCUGGUGUAGAGGUGAAAUUCGUAGAUAUCAGGAGGAACAACAGAAGCGAAGGCGGUUCUCUGGACAGUUACUGACGCUGAGGCGCGAAAGCGUGGGGAGCAAACAGG